UGAAGGAUGUUAGAGCCUGGGAUGCUGAGGCAUGUACUGUGGGACAAUUAUAGCAAGUUGGUAAAUUCAGCUGACAGAUGAGAUGACAAGAUUACAAGCGCUUUUUGUCAUAAGUUCUUGAAAGAGAAAAAGUAAAUCGAAAAAUCUCAUUCAACAAAAAUAAGCAGAAUAUGACAGUUCUUAUAGUACUGUGCCCAAACAUUUCAGUGAUCUGUGCAUUCAGUAGAUGAGUCAAUGACAAACCCAACCUGGCAGCAUAAGGCUAAUAAUGAUGAGUUUUUAUUCAAGAGACAAUGGCCCAAGAACCAAAAUAAAGAAAAACAUUAAAAUCAAAAGAGGUAUUAACCUGGACGAGGACUCAGGGGACCUGCAUGUUUUGACCUAACUCUGCCAUUCACAAGCUAUAUGUCUUUGGCAAGUCACUUAGUUUCACUACUUCUGUGUCUCCCUGCUCAUAAAACGGAGAUUAUAAUUGCUAUAUGCACUUUCUGCCCCACAGGACUCCUAAGCUUAGAUGUAUAGGAAAAUGCUUUAGGAACCAUAAAAAUUAACUAAAUUCAUAAAUGAUGGUGAUAAUUACUGUGCUUAAUAAUAAAAUAUAACACCUAAUAACAACAAC
ensembl:lncRNA novel transcript